rnacentral:rRNA from 1 species
UACGGAGGGUGCAAGCGUUGUCCGGAAUUAUUGGGCGUAAAGAGCUCGUAGGCGGUUUGUCGCGUCUGCUGUGAAAUCCCAGGGCUUAACCCUGGGCCUGCAGUGGGUACGGGCAAACUAGAGUGCGGUAGGGGAGAUCGGAAUUCCUGGUGUAGCGGUGAAAUGCGCAGAUAUCAGGAGGAACACCGGUGGCGAAGGCGGGUCUCUGGGCCGUAACUGACGCUGAGGAGCGAAAGCGUGGGGAGCGAACAGG